rnacentral:rRNA from 1 species
AUUGAACGCUGGCGGCAUGCCUUACACAUGCAAGUCGAACGGCAGCACGGGAGCAAUCCUGGUGGCGAGUGGCGAACGGGUGAGUAAAGUAUCGGAACGUGCCCAGUCGUGGGGGAUAACGUAGCGAAAGUUACGCUAAUACCGCAUACGAUCUAUGGAUGAAAGCGGGGGAUCGCAAGACCUCGCGCGAUUGGAGCGGCCGAUAUCAGAUUAGGUAGUUGGCGGGGUAAAGGCUCACCAAGCCGACGAUCUGUAGCUGGUCUGAGAGGACGACCGGCCACACUGGGACUGAGACACGGCCCAGACUCCUACGGGAGGCAGCAGUGGGGAAUUUUGGACAAUGGGCGAAAGCCUGAUCCAGCUAUGCCGCGUGCAGGAUGAAGGCCUUCGGGUUGUAAACUGCUUUUGUACGGAACGAAAAGGUUUGGCCUAAUAAGCUGAGCUCAUGACGGUACCGUAAGAAUAAGCACCGGCUAACUACGUGCCAGCCGCCGCCGUAA